rnacentral:rRNA from 1 species
GACGAACGCUGGCGGCGUGCUUAACACAUGCAAGUCGAACGGAAAGGCCCUGCUUUUGCGGGGUGCUCGAGUGGCGAACGGGUGAGUAACACGGGAGUAACCUGCCCUUGACUUUGGGAUAACUUCAGGAAACUGGGGCUAAUACCGGAUAGGAGCUCCUGCUGCAGGGUGGGGGUUGGAAAGUUUCGGCGGUUGGGGAUGGACUCGCGGCUUAUCAGCUUGUUGGGGGGGUAGUGGCUUACCAAGGCUUUGACGGGUAGCCGGCCUGAGAGGGUGACCGGCCACAUUGGGACUGAGAUACGGCCCAGACUCCUACGGGAGGCAGCAGUGGGGAAUAUUGCACAAUGGGCGGAAGCCUGAUGCAGCAACGCCGCGUGCGUGAUGACGGCCUUCGGGUUGUAAACCGCUUUCGCCUGUGACGAAGCGUGAGUGACGGUAAUGGGUAAAGAAGCACCGGCUAACUACGUG